ACAACGGAUAUGCCUUCGGCCCAUAUAAGCCCCGUAAUACGGUCGGGGCGUCUCUACCGGGAAGCCUGCCGCUAAGCGGUCGCCGCAUCGCGAACGCAGCGAAGCUGCCGCCGCACCGCGGCGAAACUUCCCGUCUAUGGGCUCCUGUUCUCGACUU
rnacentral:ncRNA from 2 species